AGACACUUUGGAGCUGCGAUAAAAUUCAAAACACGCAAAGAUACAUUGCUGGUUGCUGCGACAGAAGAUGACACUCCAAAGGUCCAGCCCAAGAGGUGGCUGAAAUGUACACGUUUCCACUGAGCCUCAACCUGGCUUUCUGCUUAUUAAGAGCUCCCCAGGUCAUUGCACUGCAAAGGCUUUGCUGGAGUUACAGAACGUCAAAGGACCUCAACUCAGAAAGAAUAAACACUGGGAUGGAUUUGGAGUCACCCCACCCAGGCUCAGAUCCCCUGCUUUCUAGCCAGAUGACCCUCGAGCUGCUGUUUAAGCUGCUUCAACUUCCUCAUCUGCAAAAUGAACACAGAAAUAGUUCCUACCUCAUAUUACUUUUCAUUAGGAUCAUUGAGAUGCUGUCUGAGAAAUACUUGUAAAUACUA